rnacentral:rRNA from 1 species
AGUGAACGCUGGCGGUAGGCCUAACACAUGCCAGUCGAACGGCAGCACAGUAAGAGCUUGCUCUUACGGGUGGCGAGUGGCGGACGGGUGAGGAAUACAUCGGAAUCUACUUUUUCGUGGGGGAUAACGUAGGGAAACUUACGCUAAUACCGCAUACGACCUACGGGUGAAAGCAGGGGAUCUUCGGACCUUGCGCGAUUGAAUGAGCCGAUGUCGGAUUAGCUAGUUGGCGGGGUAAAGGCCCACCAAGGCGACGAUCCGUAGCUGGUCUGAGAGGAUGAUCAGCCACACUGGAACUGAGACACGGUCCAGACUCCUACGGGAGGCAGCAGUGGGGAAUAUUGGACAAUGGGCGCGAGCCUGAUCCAGCCAUACCGCGUGGGUGAAGAAGGCCUUCGGGUUGUAAAGCCCUUUUGUUGGGAAGGAAAAGCAGCAGGUUAAUACCCCGCUGUUCUGACGGUACCCAAAGAAUAAGCACCGGCUAACUUCGUG